rnacentral:hammerhead_ribozyme from 1 species
AUCCGGCUGAAGAGUCCUAAAUGGGACGAAACGCGCGUCCUGGAU